rnacentral:piRNA from 1 species
UGAACUACACCCUCUCCCCUGUUCAUAG